AUACGAUUAAGAUCAAUAAAUUGGAAUUAAAACAAAAACCAUCGAAACACAUUUUAUAAAUAUCGAACAAUUGGUAGUCUGUUAAUUUAUCAACGAUACUAACGUUAUAUAGAGGAAAAUAAAUUGACGAGGGAACGGCGAUUUCCCUGGCUCGAAGCGUUUCGAUUACGCAACAAUUCUCGUCUUGCAAGACUCACGCCAAUUAAAACUGCAAUAGAGGAGUCGUUCCUGCGAUUUCGACGUUGCAAAGCGGCACGUUCGUAAUUGAAAUUGUAUGGUAGUUGAUAAUUUGUGUAAGGUAAAAACAUAUUUGAUUCGAGAUCGUGAUACUUUAUACAGAUACAUUUAAAAGUAAGGCUAAAUUGUGAGAAACGCAAUAUUUAUUUUUCAUAUAAUUUCCUUCUUCUUCUUACAUGGGAAAUUAAUCUGUUUCUCUUCUCUUCCUUUUUCAAAUAAUUCGUUACGUUCGUAAAAGGAUUCGACGAAAUAUUCUCAAAUUCUCCCCUAGGAAAAUAUUGCAAGUAAUAACUUGCAUGGUCCAUCGACCUUUUUUCCCUGUCGCGUCCACCUUAUUUCGAGCAGUUUCUUUUUUCCGCCGAUAUAUUCGAUCAUACGUGUCUACUAUGACGUCGGAUUGAAUUUGCUGUUAUAUAUAAUGAAUACGGGAGAGCGCAGCUACGGAAUUCGAGGUAGUUUUCGACUCGCAGGAAACCGCGAUUGAAGAAGCGCGAUUCCGGUUGAGGCAGCCGGUAAUUAAUAGUUUCCAAAGUAUCGACAGGACGAAGAGGUUUUAUCUUUUCGCUACAAAAGCCAACACGGGUGACCAAUGAAUCAUUCGGUACGCUUUGUAUCUUUUCAAUUGACUAUGUGAUAAAACUAAUGCGAAAUUGAUGACUCGUCAGCUUUCUCUGGAAUCAACGGCUGCAUAUAUUCAUUUAGUAAGAAUCUUGCAAGUAACGAUUAUCGAUCUUACACGUUACUACGUUGAAUUAGUAUCAUUAUCAGGUUUGUUAUCGGUUUAAAAGAAUCGUUUUUAUCUAACUCGAAGGUUUGAAGUUAUUCUAAAUUAUACCACUAAUUGACAGUGAAACUAGGAAAAUUAUUCGGCGCGAUUAAAAGCUUGUCGAAGGAAAAGAAAAGUAAUAAGAGGAGAAGAGGGAGAAAAAUAUAAUUUUAUCGUAGAAGAUCAAGCGAAUAUGAUGGAGUAAGAACUGUAAAACCAACAGCAACGCAAGUUGAAGAUUAUUCUUUAACGAAAGAAAGACAAAAGAAUUCUGAUAUUACGAAGCUCGACUGUCGUCGAGUAUACGAUGAUCCAAAAAGUUAAUAAAUUAAUUUUUGUUCACAAUGCGAAUUGAAAAUUGUCCAAGCCACUUUCUUCCUUCAUUGACAAAAAUAUCGUUUAACUUGAUUUAAACCGUUUCUACGAUAAAACAACGAUCGAAGAAAGGAAGGAAAAACGAUUUUACCAUUAACAAAGCCAAAGAAAUAUCGAAUAUUUCAUAAACUGAAAGAAUUUCCAAAACGCGAUUUAUAAAAGAAAGGAGUAGAAAAUUAAACCUAAAAAUUAACCUUUCUCGGCUUACAAUUCGAGCGUGGUAUCUUCCAAUCGGCUUUCGAGUUUCAAAAGGGAUCUGUCCUAUUUCGGUGCAGAUAGGAACGUAUAGUACGAGAAGAAAGGGCAAUGGUGGAAAUACAGUCGGGGCGACAUCGAUCGUUGCGGAAAAGACGAGAUGGAACUGACGAUGAGGUAGAUCGAUAGACAUCCAGGGUAGAUUUUGCGCGAACAACCGAUCGCGUUUCCGCGAGCGUGCACUCGAAUCUUGCGAAGGCGGAAAAGAGGAGUCGAAUCGCGUGGUUAGAUCAGAGAACGUUGUACGUGGUACGUUCUCGUGAUAAAUCAGCGACGACCAUUACCUACUCGACGGAGGACUUUCCUGCUCUUUUUUCUUUCGCUUCCGUCUGUUUUUCCUCUAAUCGUUUUCGUUGAUCGAGCAUCAAGAUUAAAGACAGUUUGACUUUUGGCUUUUUAGAUUCUUGGUUUUUCGAAUUUUUUAAUUAAACACAUAACGAUCCGAGAACAGUGAAUUUAUAUUUAAAACAUACUGACUAAACAUUUCGAAUUAUAAAUUUCAAAUACAUAUACGUAUUAGAUAUACAUGUAUUUUCAAUUACACCUAUACCAAUCUGAUCUAUACUAAUUAAUCAUAUUAAUUAAUUCAUUAUUGCAAUAUAUUAAUGUAUCGUCGCUAUUUUCUGGCCUUUUACAGGUGGAACAGCUUCGAUCGAUUUCCGAGAUUCUUUUGUCAUAUUUUUUUCAUUACUGCUUCCUAUUUAUAACACAAGAAUAUGUAUAUAUGUGUAGUAAUAUAAGAAUAUAAUUCUUAUUCUUAAUUAUGACGGAUUAAUCUUAUUUUUUAUUAAUUAAUUUCAUUUAUAGACUCGUUACAUGGUUGUUAAUGUAAUCAUGUACAAUAUACUCUAUCACGUUAGUCAGCAAACAAACAAACUGACAAUAUGAAAUAUUAACUGGUUUCGUCUUCGUUUUGCUCCAGUCACUAUCUCUAUAUGUAUUAUCAUUGCCACAGAAUUGUUAUUGUAUUUGCCCCGUUAUGGACUUUAAAUAAAACAGCGAUAAGCGAGUCUUCCUUCUAUGCACGCCUCAAAGAGCUUCGAUCAACACGCUAUUGUUGUUGAAUAUAUUCAGCAGAGAAACCGAAAAAUUCCAUCCACGAAACCAUUAAAAACGAAACCAUCGACAUACGAUGAAAAUAGACUGAGAGAAAUAAAAGCGAACAAUUGAAAGGCACAAAUGAGCAACUGGAAAAAAUAAACAACUAAUUCGAGAAUGAAAGCGAACGAUCUAAAAAUGUAAAAAAGCAAUUGCAGAAAGUAAGCAGACAAAUCCAGAACAUAAAUAAACAAACCUAGAAUGUAAAUAAAUGGUAAAAAAAUUUUCCAAAAAAAUAUACCCGUAACAAUACCUGUAACAAAUUUUUACUCUUGCGCUUUUAUUCGCCCAAUUAUUUUUUAUUUCUAUCUUUACCGCUAUGUUUUCUUUAUUGCGGUUAUUUUCUGUCUUCUCUUUUUUACUUUUACAUUUUCUUUACUUCGAUUAUUAUAUCUUCCUUCUCUUAUUCGCUGACAUCGACAUUUCGUGUUAAUUAUACUACACUACCAUCUAGAUUUCUUAGAUUAAUAUCAUUAGUUAAACUAAUUUUAACAAGAACGAUGCAACCAGUUACGAAGCGAGGAAAGCACAUUUUAGAAAAUAAUGCACAUAACGCAGGAUGCGAUGAUUCGUUCGUCUCGCAACUGACAAAAAUGCAUUACAGUAUUUGCACUUAAUAACGUACGAUACAAGCGGAAUAAAUUUGCAAAUUAAUGGAACGGGGGUAAAUUCUGAGUGUACGUGCGAAUAGAAAGCGAGGAAUUCGUGGCUCGAGUGCUCGAUGAAAUCGUUUUGUAGACCAUCGUUAUGAUUAACGACCGUAAUGAUUUUAAAGUCUCUAAGAAAUUUUUGUACGACGAAUUUCAGUAACAAAAACCAGUGAAUGCAAAUAUCGAAGGUUCCAAACGUAUAACGAUGGUAAUUAGAGGAAAAACAUUCUAUCGUAUAAGUUUCCCCUUCGUUAGGAUUUUUACUAUUGUGUAAUAUUUCUGCUACGAUAAAUUUCAGAAUAUCAAGUUUUGUAUUUCGAAUUCGACAAUUGAUAAAACUAAUAAUUGUAAUAGUAUUGUACGGUAUCGUAGCGGUAUUGUAGCUAGAAAUAUAUUGUAAAUGGAUAAAGAAGACACAACGGUACCGAAUAGUAGCGAACAGUAAGCGUAGAUUUUUCGAUUUAAUAUUUCUUGUACGACCCGAUGUGCGUCAAGAGAAACGUGACGUUUCAAAAUAGUCGCUGCCUCUUUCCGGAAUUGCAAAUGCAACCAGAUCACGUUUGCAACUACCGGUACACAGAAAUUUAUUAUAUCCAUUUCUGAUGGUUUUAGUAAAAAAAAAAUUAAAAAAAAAGAGAAGAAAGGAAGCUAAAUAAUAUCGUAGAAUAAAGAAGCCGCAACGACAAACUCGUUAAACCUUCUAGGAAAUUAUUUUUCAGCUGUGAGAAUAAUUUUAUUCUGAUAUAUAUCAAAAUAUUAUCUUACAGACCGUGGAUGUUUAUGCACAUUCGUGUCUUUAUAAAUACAGUGAAAGAGGUGUAAUUUAGGAAUGAAACGCUUUUAACUACUAAAUAUUAUAAAGAAUAAUAUACCUUUAUAAAUAUAACAAAUGCCAAAUUAAUCUUCGUCUACUCGUUAAAUUUUCCACUUAUAAAAUCUUUGGAAAGCAUUUCUCAAAGAUUAAGAUAACGCUCCUGUUAAAAUAUCAUUGCUCGCCGAAUGUAACAAUCUGCUCCAGUCUCUAUUCUUCUUUUCCAAUCUUCCUCCACGAGCAAUUAUUCCCAAAUUCUACGUUUAUCGAUAUUACUCGAUAUAAUUAAUCGAGCAACUAUGUAAUCGAUUUCGGUUCUGAUAAUAUAAAGAUUCUGCCGUAUAUAUACAUUUAUAAAGUUCAACGAGACGCGGACGAUGCGAUUAUAAACUCAUUGACGUCGUUGGCGCAUCACGCGAGCCCAUUUACCUACUUCUGCCUUUGCCACGCAACACGCUCUCUCUUUUUCUUUCUUUCGAUCUCUCUGUUCGUCGAUGCUUUCGCCAUAGAAUACGAAGAGAAUGGCUUGCCACUACGCUAAUUAAAAUUCGCUACUUCUUCGAGCCAAACAGCCGCGCAACACGCCCAUUCCUCGCGAACGAAUCGAUGGAAUCUUCGCUAUUCCUUGCCUAUGGUUUAUCGCAUUUCAAUCGGUUGAAAGGUGGACCACUUCCCCUUCGCGAGGAUUCCUUCACGCUAGAAGAGCUUCGAUAAGAUUGGAUCCAGGUUCCACGAGUUUAUCGGAGAUUCUGAUGGGGGUUUUUACGGGGAUCGUGGUCCGAAGAGGUUGUUUCGUUGAAUCUGGAGAAUGUAAUCCUUUCUGUUCAGGAAUUCUCUCUUUUAUGCAACGUUUCUUUCUUUCUUUCUGUUUAUCAGAAUUUUCUUUAUUCUUGCCUGUUUGUGAUGGCGAUUUAAGAAAAUCAGAAGAGUAUGUUUAUUUCUAUACAGGUACCUGCGAAGUAUCAGAUACAAUACGAGAAUAUCAGAUUAAGAGUAUAUAAAACAGAAUAAACUUAUUGAGAAUGGAGGAGACCUACGUAUUAUUAAGUUAUUAUUACAAUAUCACCUUAUUGUUUUCUGCGUGUAAUUGAAUAUUCUACUGUUGCACAGGCCAUUCCAUCGUGCAGAUACGAAACGAAAGAUAUAACUAGUUUUCUAGCCAGUGAUAUCGUUUUACACGCUUACAAAUCACUCACUUUUUUAAUAUAAUAAGCAUGUCAAGAUGUAAGUUUAUGUUUAUAAGGUUCUACAUUAAUUUCUAAACUUGCUUCAAUAAAAUUCUGCGGUAAUUUAUUUCUUCGCCUAUUAAAAACUGCCCGGCACGCACGUUAGCAACUCGAUAAAUAUUAUUUAUUAUAAAUUUCUAGCACGCGCAUAUAAAAAGGCUCGCCACCAUUGAAUCAAAACCAUUCUCGUCGCCAUGUUUCAUUGAUAACCAUCAGAAACGUAUCUACCCUUGUUUAAUGCCUCCCCCGAUUCAACACGGACGUAGAAUCGACUCGAAACGGUUUCACAGAAUAUGCAUAUAAAUACAUAUAUAUAUAUAUAUAUAUAUAUAUAUAUAUAUAUAUAUGUAUAUAUGAGAGGGAGGGAGAGGGAGAGAGAGAGAGAGAGAAGAGUUCUGUAAUCAGUUCGUACGGCCGUGUUAGAAGUUAGUCUAAUUAGUAUUCCGCUUGGCGCGGCGGUACCGCGGGACGCUUUAGGUAAAGCAAAGUUUAGCUUCCUUAACGACGCCGCCUUUGGACUUCGCAUGAAAUCUGCAAUUACCGGCGGUGCGCGGGCGCGAGCACGCUUGCGAGCGCGUGUCAAUCCUCGCUGCACUUUAUUGCACGCGAUACAAAGAGCAAGAACGUAACGUAAAGUAUGCAGUUUAAUUAGGAUCCUGUGCCGGCGCAGGUUCCCAUUAAGCCAUUUGCAUGUAAACCGUUGGCGCAGAGUGGCCUGGACCAGGGGCCGUUACUGCAGCCUCUCUAAUGGCAACGUAAUUUCGUAUACGGUGAAUAAAUAUUCGUGGGAAUAUCGAGCCGACUGUUGGUCACGAGUAGAAAGAGUAUCGUGCAAAGUUUUACUAUAUUUUUCCUUCGUUUCCCCACGCUUGUAUAUUUCCACGCCCGAGAUUUGAGGGAUUUAAAAUAUUCUUUCGCAAGUUGGACUGAAAAUGGAACGAUUCGUAAUUUGUAUUAAAUUUUCUUAUCAACGAAUUAUUUGACCGAAUUAUUUGACGAGUCAAAUUUGAAAUAAAGAUUUUUUAAACAUACAAUUUUAAAAGAUCUUAUGAACAUUAUGUAAUAUCAAAAAAAAAGGGGGGGGGGCAUACGCUUGAUCCAUCAUAUAUUUAAGUUCGAGUUUCUCGGGAUAGUAUAAUGCAGUGCCGCAGACAGAUUGUCGUAUAGGACCGGCGAAAUGCAUACAAUAUAGCGACCAGCGUAUAGUUCCAGAAACGUCGAUUCGCCUUCGGUCCGCUUUUUUUCACAUACACAAGGAAGGUGCAUACGCAUCAUAGGCGCGAACGGUGGCGUGACCCAAGCGUAGUGGGGGGUCGCCUCCGAGAGAAGACAAAAAAGAUCGAAGGGCGAGCAGUACCAUUUUGAGGAGUCGGAGAGUGAAAAUCAAGAAGUGAGAGUGUUGCCAGCGUUGUGAGAGUGUGGUUCACGUGAAAGAGAGAGCGUUAGAUCUGUUGUGAGGAGAGUUACAAAUUAACUAUUGCGUUGUCUAGACCAUAAUACGUUAUUGUGAUUAAUUAACAUCUGUACAAUCCAUUCAUCGUAAAUAAAUCAUCAUUAUAAUAUUAUAUUUACGAUAUUACAAUUAUGAAAACGAAGGUGCAGCAACUGAUAUUCUUAUUAACUUUUUUUUUUAUGAAAAAUUGGAGAUUGAUCCGGUAUUAAAUUUUGAAUCUCCUAUCGAUUAAAUUUGAAAUAAAAGGUCCUAAAUAUAAGAAAUGUUUCGAAAAAAAUAUAUACAAGAGAAUUUUGUAAUUUUAAUGAUCGCUAUUUCUAUUGAAAUUUUUAUGUAUGAAUCAACAUUUAUAUGAAUAAGUUUACAAUUAAUUGACAAUUUAAAUCUGGAUUUUAUAUAAAUUGCCGAAUAUUCCUAAUCGAUUACCAAUGUAACAUCAGGAAUUUUGGAAUUUGGAUAAUGAAACGCGUGAUUAGCCACGCUCGGGAACUUGCAAAACAGUUCGGAAAGUCGGCAGGAUACCACGAAGCCAUUUAAUUAUCCUAAAAACAUUUCUGCCGCAAAGACAAUUUAGAACGUGCUUUAUGAAAACUUGCGAGCUGUCCGCGCGUGAAAUUUACCGAUGGAUGAGACCGGCGCGUUUCCACGGUGUAAUAGUAAACGUUUCGUGGAAUUCACUUCGAUCGGAACGAAAUAUCGUUUCAGUAAUUACCGUAUAUCGUCUACCAUUGAAUUUCUACAAUUUCUACAUUGACAAGACUUUAUAUGACUCCAGUGAAGAGAUGUUCAAAAUGUCUCUCCAACACUGUUAUACGCAUAAGCUCUUCGAUAUUUCGUUAAUAGUUUGCGUUAAAAAAAUAUUUCUGUUUGAACAGCUACUGUCUAUCUACUUUGUGUUCACAUAUGAUAGUUGUUCGCUAUCUCAACAAUGGACAGAAGACGUAUUACGGUGUUUAGUAUAACUAGGAACACGUGGUGUGCGAGGGAACAGCGUUGUAUCGCAACAACGUAACAAAAUAAUUACAUAAGAUGGUAUAGAACGAGUUACAUACGGAGCAAGAACCGGAAAUUUAAUGUCAGUGCUGAUGAUACGGAACGUGGGCUUCGUAUCAUGAAACUGUAUCUACAUAUAUGUGUAUAUAUAUAUAUAUAUAUAUAUAUAUAUAUAUAUAUAUAUAUAUAAAACUCUCGAUACUUGGCAUAACAUUUUUCCUCUCUUUUACAUAGCUGUGUAGAGAUUCUCAGUCUAGGAUUUAGCGAUUUCCUAGAUAUCUAUGAUCGAUAAAUCGAUAAAAAUCGAUACGACAAUAAGCAACGUUUCAGUUGAACAAAUAUUAUGACUUCUGUCUUUAUGUCUAGUAAAAAGGAAACGCACGAGACUUCGCUUUUAUUGACUCGCAUCCACAAAAGCUAACCUCUAAGAGGAACCGAAGAUUAGAUAUUGAGAAUAAUAGAAGCCUCGUAUGAAUCGCUUUCUGAAAACACCAGACGGCUAUAAAUAAAUAUAAGCUCGUCUACGAGCAAAUAAAUAUGCCUAACUCGACGAAAGAAUCUCGAUUCAAAAGAUAGCACGCAAAUACGUAGUAGUUCCGGUGGCAACAAAGCUGUUGGUCAAAUGAUACAGGUGUCAUCCACUUAGCGUAAAGGUAGGUUAGUAUUCGCUCCAUGGCAAAAGAGAAACACGUGCAAAGGACAGAGACGAAUGACAUUUCUACAGAUACACAAUCGUCUACACAGCAAAUAAUUGAGCAAUGUAAAUGGCGGACUAUAUACAUGAAAAAAGAACAAUAAAAAAUGACGUUGAUGAUGAUUCAGCGAAGAAGAAUAUAAAUCGCAUGCUAAGAAAAGAAGAAGAACAUAUCCACUCCAAAUUGCAAGAAACAACUUCGAAUCGGUACUUCUAAGUACUAGUAGUAGUAGUAGCUUGAUCGAGUUUACGCGGCCGAAUCGAUGGAGAGAAGCCUGGUGGGCGACAAACGAGAGGAAGAGCGUAGGCCUCGAGCGGAAGUCCGGUCGGCUGGUAUAGUUUUCCGGGGUUGAUCACCCUGUCGGGCUCCAGCAGACCAGCUCCC